rnacentral:rRNA from 1 species
UACGGAGGAUGCGAGCGUUAUCCGGAUUUAUUGGGUUUAAAGGGUGCGCAGGCGGAAGAUUAAGUCGGUGGUGAAAUUUUGCAGCUCAACUGUAAAAGUGCCAUUGAUACUGGUUUUCUUGAGUGUAGAUGAAGUAGGCGGAAUUUGUGGUGUAGCGGUGAAAUGCAUAGAUAUCACGAGGAACUCCGAUUGCGCAGGCAGCUUACUAAACUACUACUGACGCUCAGGCACGAAGGCGUGGGGAUCAAACAGGAUUAGAUA